GAAAUUAUUGUCUUUCACACUCAAGUGAACUAGAAUUCUUUUUUGGUUUCUCAGAAAAGUCAGUGCAAAAAGAGAGUGAAGUCAAGGCAGAGCACAUUGAAGAAAGCACAGUAGAGAAAAGGCAAGAUCAUGAUCCAGUACAGGGACAGAGAAAGCAUGAAGCAGAAGAAGACACGAGUCAGGAGAGAGAUGGAUACAUAUGCAGAGAAGCAAGUUUAAAGUUAUGUUCUUUCUUGUUUAAAUUGUUCUGUUUGUACUUG
rnacentral:lncRNA from 1 species